rnacentral:rRNA from 1 species
CUCAGGAUGAACGCUGGCGGUCUGCUUAACACAUGCAAGUCGAACGGGGGUAGCAAUACCCUAGUGGCGGACGGGUGAGUAACGCGUGAGGAUCUGCCUAAAGGACCGGGACAACCACUGGAAACGGUGGCUAAUACCGGAUGUGCCUGAAAGUGAAAGGGGAAACUCGCCUUUAGAGGAGCUCGCGUCUGAUUAGCUAGUUGGUAGGGUAAAAGCCUACCAAGGCGACAAUCAGUAGCUGGUCUGAGAGGAUGACCAGCCACACUGGGACUGAGACACGGCCCAGACUCCUACGGGAGGCAGCAGUGGGGAAUUUUCCGCAAUGGGCGAAAGCCUGACGGAGCAAGACCGUGCGAGGGAGGAAGGCUCUUGGGUCGUAAACCUCUUUUGUCAGGGAAGAACACAAUGACGGUACCUGACGAAUCAGCCUCGGCUAACUCCGUGCCAGCAGCCGCGGUAAUACGGAGGAGGCAAGCGUUAUCCGGAAUUAUUGGGCGUAAAGCGUCCGUAGGUGGCUCUCUCAAGUCUGCGGUCAAAGACCGGGGCUCAACCCUGGAAAGGCCGUGGAAACUGGUGAGCUAGAGUGCGGUAGGGGCAGAGGGAAUUCCCAGUGUAGCGGUGAAAUGCGUAGAGAUUGGGAAGAACACCGGUGGCGAAAGCGCUCUGCUGGGCCGCAACUGACACUAAUGGACGAAAGCUAGGGGAGCGAAUGGGAUUAGAUACCCCAGUAGUCCUAGCCGUAAACGAUGGAUACUAGGCGUGGCUCGUAUCGACCCGAGCUGUGCCGUAGCUAACGCGUUAAGUAUCCCGCCUGGGGAGUACGCACGCAAGUGUGA